CCUACGGGAGGCAGCAGUCGGGAAUUUUGGGCAAUGGGCGCAAGCCUGACCCAGCAACGCCGCGUGAAGGAUGAAAUCUUUCGGGAUGUAAACUUCACAAGAACGGGAAGAAUAAGUAAGGGUUAAUACUCCUUACGAUGACGGUACUGUUUGUAAGCUCCGGCUAACUCCGUGCCAGCAGCCGCGGUAAUACGGGGGGAGCAAGCGUUGUUCGGAUUUACUGGGCGUAAAGGGCGCGUAGGCGGCGCAACAAGUCACUUGUGAAAUCUUCAGGCUUAACCUGAAGCGGCCAAGUGAUACUGUCGUGCUCGAGUGCGGAAGGGGCAACCGGAAUUCUUGGUGUAGCGGUGAAAUGCGUAGAUAUCAAGAGGAACACCUGCGGCGAAGGCGGGUUGCUGGGCCGACACUGACGCUGAGGCGCGAAAGCUAGGGGAGCGAACGGGAUUAGAUACCCCGGUAGUCCUAGCCUUAAACGAUGAAUGCUUGGUGUCCGAGGUUAGAUAGUCCUCGGGUGCCGUCGCUAACGCUUUAAGCAUUCCGCCUGGGGAGUACGGUCGCAAGACUGAAA
rnacentral:rRNA from 1 species